CCUUGGUCUUGAUAUGUUAGGCAGCCAUCUUGCUGCAUAAAUUUUCAAUGCGUUACCGAUGAGAUUAGAGGCUAUCUUUCCACCAGAUUUAAUAGCUACCAUGGUUCUCCAGUAUAGGUCUAUGCCUAAUUCUGCCAUAUCUUCAGCCCACCACCCCUUGCUCGCAGGUUUAUGCCUCUGGCUCUCAGUUCCAUUACAGGAUACAUCGUCCCUUGCUCUUCUAGAGUAACUGUGUGACAAACUU
rnacentral:misc_RNA from 1 species